rnacentral:rRNA from 1 species
GAUGAACGCUGGCGGCGUGCCUAAUACAUGCAAGUCGAACGCUGGAGAUCUAGCUUGCUAGAUCGAAGGAGUGGCGAACGGGUGAGUAAUACAUAAGCAACCUACCCACGAAGACUGGGAUAAUCUCUGGAAACGGGGACUAAUACCGGAUAGGUAAUCGGAAGGCAUCUUCUGGUUAUUAAAGGUUAAAAACACUGGUGGAUGGGCUUAUGGCGCAUUAGUUAGUUGGUGAGGUAACGGCCCACCAAGACGAUGAUGCGUAGCCGGCCUGAGAGGGUGAACGGCCACAUUGGGACUGAGACACGGCCCAGACUCCUACGGGAGGCAGCAGUAGGGAAUUUUCGGCAAUGGGGGCAACCCUGACCGAGCAACGCCGCGUGAGUGAAGACGGCCUUCGGGUUGUAAAGCUCUGUUGUAAGGGAAGAACGGUAGAUAGAGAAUAUCUAAGUGACGGUACCUUACCAGAAAGCCCG